rnacentral:rRNA from 1 species
UACAGAGGUCUCAAGCGUUGUUCGGAUUCAUUGGGCGUAAAGGGUGCGUAGGCGGCGCGGUAAGUCGGGUGUGAAAUCCCCGGGCUCAACCUGGGAAUGGCGUUGGUGACUGCAAGGCUAGGAGUUUGGCAGAGGGGGGUAGAAUUCCACGUGUAGCAGUGAAAUGCGUAGAUAUCUGGAGGAACACCGGUGGCGAAGGCGGCAUCCUGGACCAACACUGACACUGAGGAGCGAAAGCCAGGGGAGCAAACGGG